CCGGAAGUGCACGUCUGAGGUUAUGGGGCGAGGACGGCUCCCGGAAGACGCCGAUUUUAGCGUUUCCAAGGAGAUUAAAACGCCUGGAGAACACGGCUUACUGAAGGGAGCGCCUAAGGAGAAGCCAUUAUCUUCUUGGUGUGAAGAUUCUGAAGACCUUUCACCCUCCAUCCCUGUUCUCUUGGUCAAGUUGAACCCUUUAAGGACUUGGAAGACUGCGGGCCAGUGGCCUGAAAUCCCGUUCAGCUGCAGCUCAGCUCUUUGAACAGCCAAGGGUUAUCUCCCACAGAUUGGCCAAACCUGCGUUUUCUCCUCUUUAAAAUAGGGUGAAAAGUCCUCCACUGUGAAAAACUCUCAGGACUACUGUGGAGUCACCAGAAACUGCUUUACAGAAUGGGAAAAUGCUUUAGGAAACACGGGGAAAGUGCUGCGCCUGCAGAGGAUUGUGCUAGCCGCGACCUCGGCUCAGGCCGCUCCUGGGAGUGAAGGAUGCGCUGAGGAAAGCGGGACACACAUCCUUGGGUGGGCUCUGCCUGAAACAGGAAGCCUGGCCCCAGGGUCAGGACUGCUUUGGAAACCAGCUGCAGAUGCUCUUCAGCAGUAGGAGCAUAGAUCAAAGUGGGAGUGCAACAGGGAAGGGUUGGGAGAACCCCAUGGAAGUGAGGAAGUAGGGCAGGGAACCCAGGUGGUCCUGCACAGUUUGGGGACUCAUUGCCCCUGGGCACUGAGGGGUGGGUUAAAUGGUAAGAAUGUAGCCUUUGAGUUGGGUGGACCUGGAUGUGAAAACUCCUCUGCCACUCCUGUCCGGGAGACCAUUGGGCAGUUUUUUUACCUCUUUGAGCUACAGCUCUCUGGGCUGCUCAAUAACAAACGGAAAGCAGGUAGCAUGCCCCAGAGUGAAUGAUUAAGUGCUGUUAAUUUCUCCCAUCUCCCACCUCUGACCAUCUUUUGUUCCAUUCCAGGACAGUUUAUAUCCAUUUUCCAUCUGAUGACCCGCCCAUUUCACAGAUUUUUUUCCUUCAUUUGUUUAACAGAAAGCAAAUAGUCCCCGUACUUGAGGAAGUGUGUGACUGUGUGUAGGAGGGAGAGAGGGAGAAAGACAGGAAACUCGUACAGCAUGUGGUCAAUGCUGUAAUUACGGUGACCAUGUUCUCCAGACCACAAAUCAGAUCACAUGGUCAGACAGAGGCUAUUUUCUGCCUCCACUGAAGUCCAAACAUGAAAUCACACGUAGUUACACAUUCAUCGAAUGACCUUUUACUUUUUUAGAGAAGCAAAUGACAUGAAAUUUGGAUUCUCUGUGACAAAUCCCAUCAUCGUACCAGAAAAUCACUAGACCUGUGACUAAGUCCCAUACAGAGAGCCCUGGCAGGAGCAGGAAGACUUCCUGUAGGAGGUGCUGCUUAAGUGGGGUCUUGAUGUCUGAAUAGGAGGUCUCCAGGCAGAGAAAGAUGGAGUGACCUUAGCGCCCUUGGGACAGGACCUACCCUUUCUGUUCUACAGAAAACCUUGUUAGAAACUGGGGGUGGAGGUAAAGUAGGCAACAGUGUCUGUUUUUAGUUACUUUUCGCUUUCAUGUUCCAAAGAUCUCCUGGGAAAUAGAAUUGUUACAGGCCAGUACAACACAAUUA